rnacentral:lncRNA from 1 species
UGCUUAAUGUGUCAUUCAUUUGAGCAUAUGUUUAUAUUGUUGCAUGCAUUAUAGGGUAGAUGUGAUGUUAUAUAUGUGAAUGUUGUAUGAUGUGAGUACACGUGCUAUUUGAAAUGUUUGAGAACCUAUUCAACCCUAUAUGUAUGCAUGAGAUAUAAUGCGAGCACCCAAUGAGAUGAUAGAACAAGCGACACAAUAAAGCAUAGAUCGAGUGGCAUUCGAUAAUGUAAAGUAAAGUAACAUUAGAGUUAGUGUGUGUGGCAUUAAAGAGAAAUGUGAUGCAAAGAACAAUGAUAAUGAUUAGAGACAAAAGAAAGAAAAUGAAAGUGGCAUAAAGAACGAGUAAAGUUAAAGAAUAAUGAUUGUUAGAGUUAGCAAAAUAAAGUGAUGUAAAGAACACUAGAGUUAGUGUAAAAACAAUGAUUGAACUAUAUAU